GGACGAACGCUGGCGGCGUGCUUAACACAUGCAAGUCGAACGGAAAGGCCCUGCUUUUGUGGGGUGCUCGAGUGGCGAACGGGUGAGUAACACGUGAGUAACCUGCCCUUGACUUUGGGAUAACUUCAGGAAACUGGGGCUAAUACCGGAUAGGAGCUCCUGCUGCAUGGUGGGGGUUGGAAAGUUUCGGCGGUUGGGGAUGGACUCGCGGCUUAUCAGCUUGUUGGUGGGGUAGUGGCUUACCAAGGCUUUGACGGGUAGCCGGCCUGAGAGGGUGACCGGCCACAUUGGGACUGAGAUACGGCCCAGACUCCUACGGGAGGCAGCAGUGGGGAAUAUUGCACAAUGGGCGGAAGACUGAUGCAGCAACGCCGCGUGCGGGAUGACGGCCUUCGGGUUGUAAACCGCUUUCGCCUGUGACGAAGCGUGAGUGACGGUAAUGGGUAAAGAAGCACCGGCUAACUACGUG
rnacentral:rRNA from 1 species